GGAAGCGGCUGCCCGAAGGGGCCAUCAUUAUUAUGCCGGAAGUGGCCGUCCGAAGGGACUAUUGUGAUACUAGCCGGAAGCGGCUGUCCGAAGGGACCAUUCUGUUAACAUGUCGGAAGAGGCAUGUGUGUUGGAUAUCAUUAUUUACUUAAAGAUUGUUUUGAGACUUCGUGUGCACAUUUAUGUUUCUUCCAGUGAAGGCUACAACCCCAGAUUGUUUGGCAGGUUAAGUGUAUAGCUAGGAUGCUUGGACGUCAGCUGGGAUUGGCAAGUUCCACCUCAUUUUGGAGCUGUGCUGAGUCAUGUAUAGAUAUGUAUGAUUAUGGGUAUGUCAGGGCCUUGUCCUGACUCAUAAUGUUCAGUUUACUUCUUAGAGACUUCUACAGACAGUGUCCUAUGAUAUGUUUGUCGAGAUGUCGACAAAGUGAUGUCAGUUGAGUCAUUUGUGGAUUUUAAAAGAAUAUGUAUUUUAGAUUAUUUCAAUUGGUUUAAAGUACUUAUUUGAUUGAAAGUUUUCAUAAUCAUUAUAAAGAUAAUGAUUUCUAUUUGGAAAAA